GAGGGUAUCGCUCAGUGGUAGAGCACAUGCUUAGCAUGCACGAGGUCCUGGGUUCAAUCCCUGGUACCUCUA
rnacentral:tRNA from 1 species